CAGUAGUUCAAUACAGACAGAGCGCCUGUCUUGUCACUGUUAUAUUUUCAUUUAUUCAAUGUAUUUCUUUUAUGUCAACUAGCGUUUUAAAGAAAGAAGGGAUUUGAUCUUCUACAGGGCUGUCAGGCCACUCAGGAGGGGGGAGGGUCAUUGAGUCAGGUAGCUCAACGGGAAAGUCCUCGCUGCUCUUUAUGAAGGAGGAAGUCUCUGGUUGGAACACCUCCUCCUUCUGCUCCCUGAGAGAAACUGCUUCCUGCUGACGUAUGGCCUCAAUCUCCAGCUGCUCCUCCAGGAUUGCUGAGCAGGAGACCGUGCCGAAGGAGUUGAGGGCCACACAUUUAAACAAGCCAGAGUCUUCUGGAAAGGCCUCUGUGAUCACCAGUGUACACAGCUCCUCUACAGAAGGUUACACAAGAACAUAAAUGCAGUCUCAUUUCAACACAGAAUCAACGCUGCACCAAGAGCGAGGCAACAAAUCCAAAUUCAGGAGUCAAAUACAAUUCAGUUUAAUUCAGUGUGGCGUUCUCGGCAUGGGAGACGUUUACAUUGCCAAGGUGUGAAGUAAAAACUAAGACAUAAAUAGAGGAGUUCUCUUUUGAUAUCAGUAAGAUGAACACCCUCAGUGAACAAAGGCAUGUUACAUGUACCAAUGAUUAUUUUGUCCCACGCAAAAAUUGACAAAAUGUUACAAAAUGUUCUAUGAUUACAUGAUCAGUUCAAGCUGUUCCCUCUUCCCUCCACAUGAAGCUGCUAUUGUGCCAAGUUGCAGUGUUAUCAACAAUAUCAUAUUCUAUUAAAAAAAUGUCUUGUCUUUAAAAAUGUUUUUCUUAUAAAGUGUUUUAUAAGAACAGUCUAGUUAUGAAAGAUGUGUUUGCAGCAGUAUACCCACUGUAGAAUAUACG